UACGGAGGGCGCAAGCGUUAAUCGGAAUUACUGGGCGUAAAGCGUGCGUAGGCUGUCUGAUAAGUCAGGCGUGAAAUCCCUCGGCUCAACCGGGGAACUGCGUUUGAUACUGUCGGACUCGAGUCCUGGAGAGGGUGGCGGAAUUCCUGGUGUAGGAGUGAAAUCCGUAGAUAUCAGGAGGAACACCGGUGGCGAAGGCGGCCACCUGGACAGGUACUGACGCUGAGGCACGAAAGCGUGGGGAGCAAACAGG
rnacentral:rRNA from 1 species